rnacentral:ncRNA from 2 species
GGGAAGCCGGUGCGACUCCGGCGCUGACCCGCAACCGUGAGCCCGCACCCAUGGGCGAGCCGGACC